GGCGGGCGCUGGCUUGUGUGUCUGCCUCUCCUCUGCCUCUGGGCCCCUGAGAGACUGGCUGCGACUCACCCUCCCCUCUGCACCCCACCUCCAGCUUCUGCCAAGCCUGGUGCGGAGCACGGGGUUCGUAGCAUUGUCGUAGCAACAGCUGACUGUGGCAGGAGGCACAGUGGACCGCCAUCAGCCUGGCCCUAGGGAUGUACAUGGUGAGGGGACUAGAAGACUCGGUCGCCUCCCCAUUGGACUGUGAGCUCCCAGGAGCAGGCGCAACUCACCCCCAACCACCACGUGGGUGCACAGUCUCAGUAACUACAUGCUGGUGAUGACAUGUGUCAGGGCAAAAGAACACCAUGGCAUUUGAGUGGCAUGAUCAGGUUUGUAAAUGAGGAAGAUGCCCCAGGCUGCCUGGAGGAGGAGUAUAGGCAGCCGGGAGGGAGGUGGGGAGGCCGUUGAGGAGGCUGUCUCUACUGUCCAUGGGCAGAUGGCAGGACUGAGAUCGGGGGUAGUGGUAGGGUCGAGGGGUGGACUAGGAAGCCAAUGGUCCAGGCCCAGUGACCAGCAAAUGCAGGGAUGGGAGAGGGGCGGGCCCUGGGGCGACCCUGCCUUAGAGGAAGUAACCGCCAGGCCUGGAGAGAGAGCACUCCAGAUGAAGUGGCCUCAGCCAGCAGGUGCGUUCCUGGCCCAGCGGGCCAUGAUUUCAUUGCUAGGAGGGGCUGAGUCUGCAUCAGACCUGAUGCUCAGGUGUGCUAGGUGGGCACUCAGGAGCGGUCGUCCCCGAAGGAGUGAGCCCCGGCAUGUUGUCCCCCCUGCCCACACCGCCCAUGCUUCCUGUCUCCCCAGGUUCUCGCUGCCUUCCCACAGUGUUCUCUUUCCUAUCUAAGGGGCUGCUGGUCCUCAGCCGAAGCCAGUGACUCGCCCCCUGUCCAGUGACUGCUGGGCACAACAUGGUGGGUAGAGCCCUGGGCUGGGGGUCCUGAGGCCUCGGGCAGAAGUGCUGCCCGCAGACAGAACGCCACCCUGACCAGCUAUGGCACAAGGAAGUAAGUCCACCGUUUCCUUUUCCUUCGUUCCAUAACCCGGCAGCUACUGGCCCUGGUUCAGCUGCCGACAUGCUGUCAGAGACGCUUUCCGCUCCCCUCUUCUUGACAUGUUGACUUGUAUCUUCACGCCUGUGGCCUCAGCUUGCAGGAUGGCUGCCACAACGCCAGACAUUCCUUAAGUAUUCAAACGGGGGAAGAGCAGUGUUGGUUCUGUCUUUUGGUUGUUGCUGUUUUUGCUUUAGAGUAUGCGUGCUCGUCAGAGAGAGACAGAGACAGGAAGGUGGAGUGAGAGAGUACCCCCGCCCGGAGGCAGGCGUGACCAUGUCACAGGCCCUUCUCCUCGGCUCUCCUUUCAGGGUUUUGGGCCUGUGCUCACCUAGUGUGAUUUUCAAGCUGGGACUCAAAUCACACAGUCGCCCUGUGGGAUCUAACUGCCUGCACCAGCGUGCCCCCAGCUGUCCUGGUUUUGUCAUUUUCUUAAUGGAUGAACACAAAGCCUUUCGCAGAAGCCACCGUUGCCGCUGACUUUCAUCUAUGUCUUCUUGGCCAGAACUGUGAGAUGUUGGCCCCAGCUGCAAAGCCACAUGGGAAACAAGCAUCUGAUAGGCUACCAGGCCCUUUGCUGCACUAAAUGGAACUAGGCCGUCUCUGUGGGACCCUGCCUAUGUGGGUUUUAAUGUUUCAGAGGAGAAGUGACUUUAGAAACGUCCAUCUUGUCUGAGCUGAAGCUAAGAAAAGCAAAGGGGCUUCCCCACUGCACCCACACCUUUCAAGAGGUUGAGGUCUGGGAACUGAGUAGCUGGGAGUCCUGCCUGGGAAACUGAAGGGGUGGGGUGCAGCCUGGAGCUCAGGGAGGGCAGAGGUGGAGCCUGAAGCACUCUGUGGGUGGGGACUGGGGGCCUUCCGCAUCAUCAGGGACAACCCCUAGUGGGCCAGACUCUAGAGCGCUGGCCCCUGGUGGACAGGGACUGCGGUGCACUUCCAGAGCACAUGCAGCCCACACAGGCAAGGGGGUUAAUACACGUAAGGAGACUUUCACAAAAGUUCAUGGGGAGAAAUAGAAUUAAAGCAUAAGAUUAUUUUGGAACAAAGUUCAAGAUCUUUGGAUAGUUUGUUUGUUUUUGGAGAGGUUUUUGCUAUAGGGCAUGUGAGUUCGCCAGAAAGAGAGACAGACAGAAAGUGAGAAAUCACCCUCC